rnacentral:rRNA from 1 species
UACGAAGGGGGCUGGCGUUGUUCGGAUUUACUGGGCGUAAAGCGCACGUAGGCGGAUCUUUAAGUCAGAGGUGAAAUCCCAAGGCUCAACCUUGGAACUGCCUUUGAUACUGGGGAUCUUGAGUCCGGGAGAGGUGAGUGGAACUGCGAGUGUAGAGGUGAAAUUCGUAGAUAUUCGCAAGAACACCAGUGGCGAAGGCGGCUCACUGGCCCGGUACUGACGCUGAGGUGCGAAAGCGUGGGGAGCAAACAGG